rnacentral:rRNA from 1 species
GACGAACGCUAGCGACAGGCCUAACACAUGCAAGUCGAGGGGCAGCAUUACCGCUUGCGGUAGAUGGCGACCGGCGCACGGGUGAGUAACGCGUAUGCAACCUGCCUUGUACAGGGGGAUAGCCCAGAGAAAUCUGGAUUAAUACCCCAUAAUAUGAUUUAUUCGCAUGGAUAAAUUAUUAAAGUUUCGGCGGUACAAGAUGGGCAUGCGUAGCAUUAGUUAGUUGGUAAGGUAACGGCUUACCAAGACGAUGAUGCUUAGGGGGUCUGAGAGGAUAGUCCCCCACACUGGUACUGAGACACGGACCAGACUCCUACGGGAGGCAGCAGUGAGGAAUAUUGGUCAAUGGGCGGAAGCCUGAACCAGCCAUGUCGCGUGCAGGAUGACGGCCCUAUGGGUUGUAAACUGCUUUUUUACAGGAAUAAUUGCAGCUACGUGUAGUUGUUUGAAGGUACUGUAUGAAUAAGGAUCGGCUAACUCCGUGCCAGCAGCCGCGGUAAUACGGAGGAUUCGAGCGUUAUCCGGAUUUAUUGGGUUUAAAGGGUCCGUAGGCGGAUUUGUAAGUCAGUGGUGAAAUCCCGGAGCUCAACUCCGGAACUGCCAUUGAUACUGCAGAUCUUGAAUUUAGUUGAGGUGGGCGGAAUACGUUAUGUAGCGGUG